rnacentral:lncRNA from 1 species
AAGACUACUCAGGAUGGGGGAUGACCAUGCCAGGAAAACCAACCAUGUGAUUAGAGAGCUGGGGCUUUGAGCCAUGUGGUAUCAACUCAACCUCUGGGAAGAGGAAGAGAACAAGAGAUUAAGAACCAUGGGCAAUCAUUCAAUUGAUCACGAGAGCAAAGCAUCCUGACUCCAGGAAGAGAGGGCGAAAGAAGCGUCACCUUCAGCAUCCUUCUAGAUCUCGCCCUAAAUACAUGAACUGGUCAACUUUAUUAAAAACUUCAAAUCUACAUUCUUGCAGGAACAGUUGCAUGCAGAGACAGUCCAACUAUGGAAAUACUUCAGCAAGCACAGCCAAGUGCCUCCCCAGAGCUUUAGCCCCAGUUACUGCCUAGAGUAAAAACAAAACAAGAAAAUGGUCAAAAUGAGUCAAUCUCCUAAACUUCAACCGGAAAAGAGACAAGAGAACAAGACAAACUUCUCCAAUCCCACUUCUGAGAUAGUCAAAAGGCUCAAUCAUAAGUGCUGGAGGAAACUAAAUGGCUCCCUUGGACAGAUGCUCUGGUUCCUUCAAGCCACUAGGUAAGUGACCAAACAGUAUUCUGGUACUUCACCCAAAAAAAUAAAUUAUUUCUGGGCAGUAUGGCGGUAGCAUUAAAUUUAUUAGUAAAUUUUCCCGAAGAUUCUUGCAUUCCAGAUGACAGAUAUCAAUACUGACAAUAUUAAAAGGAGUAAAUUUUUGGCACCUACACAAGAAACAUAACAUCAACAAACUUAAGCUUAGGCUAGAGUCAAAUUUUAUAGUACAGAUAGGCCAAGGCUACCAAGUCAUAUUCAAACAAAUCACUAGGAACAUUCUGUAAUCAUUUAAAAACUAUUCUAGAAACGUAUCAACGAAAGAAUACAACAGAAACUGACAUAUCUGGAGCUUGAGCCUUCAUAUGGCACUGUAAUUUACACUUAUCAAGUUAAAAUUAAAAUUUCAUUUUAAUAUGAAUGUCCAAGUGGCUGGAAAGAACUUAAUAAACACUACCUCAGGAGAAAGAAAAAGCUGCAUGCCUAUCUGAAAGUAAUAGGAGUAUCAUAGGAUUUUAAAAACAGUAAAUAUUUGGGCAUCUUCUACGUGCAAUACAUGCUAUUGUGCAUUAGGUUUUAGAGCAGUGAAUGAAAAUACAUUAUCUGCCCUCAUCAAGCAUCUAGUCUAGUGGGGGAAACGAGUAACAAGUAAAUAAAGCAAAAACACACAUAAACUGUGAAGUGCUGUGAAAAAACCUGAGUAGCCAGUAUAAUAAAAUGUAUUGCGCAGAAGAAAGAGGUUGAAGAUAUGGGCAGAGGUGAGUUUGGAUUUCUUCUGGCUCCUAUAGAGGACGGGGUAGAGGAGGAGAAUCAAAGAACUAAAAGCCUCUCACUACACUGAAGAAGAAGUGUGUGUAUAGGCCAGUUAAAUGACCUGCCCGAGAACCCAAAGUUUCUCAGUGGUACACAUGAGACUUGAAUACCGAUCGAGGACUACAAAAAAGAUUCUGGAAACGUUUUCAAAUCAAAAUGGUGAGGUUAUAAAAAACAGACAUAGGAAAACUAAAAUUAAUUUGGUUAUGCCAGGAAAUCAGUAAAAUGGGUGACAGUUAUUCUUCAUAAAAAAUACUUAAAUUAGAAUACAGACAUCAAAUAUAAACAGCUAGAUUAAAUGCAAUACCUAAAGGAAACUAUUAGUUAAAGGAAAUAAAGCUAACCUCUCCAAGAUAUUACUAAGUGUACAUAAAUACUACUAACUGCAAUGUCACUGAAAUGAUCUUAGAAUUCUUUCCUUAGAUUUUCAUAUGAGUUGACUAAGGUCAACAUUAGCAAGAAUUUGAUUUUUAGCAUGAAGGUUGAUAUACUUUUUUUCUCAUGAAAGCAAAAUAUUUUAGCUUCUUUUUACUAACAUCAAAAUUUCCCAUAUCAAGAAAGCUUUGUUACUCAUCUUUCAUUAGUGUUGGAUAAUCUUCUAUUUGAGGAAAAUUAGGCUCAAAGUGACUAACCAAAUAUUACAGAGCCAAUUAAUGAUAUAGUUUGCCCUAAAAUGCAAAUGUUUCUUACAUUUUACUAUGCAACCUCUCACACUGGCAGAUUAAGUAAAACAUGAUCAGUUACUAGCUCUGGGUCUUGCAUUUUAAGAGAAAUACUGAUAAAUUACACCCAGGGAAGAAUAAUCAAGAUGAUAAAGGGUUCAAAACCCAUGUCAUAUGGAGGAAGACCAAGGAAACUAGAGACAUUUAAGCUGAAGAAGUAAAUUCUAAUGGGGCAAUACAACCAACAGGCCUACUAGGUAUUAAGCCAAAAAAAAAAAAAAAAAAAAAAAAAGCAAGGGCCAGUAACAAAAGAGAUAGA